ACUUAACUGAAAUUUAUUGUUUUAUUUUAUAGCAUUUUUUUUGACAGCUGUCAAAAGACAGGACAAUCAGUCUUUGGACAGUGUGAGCACUGUGGCAUUUUGGAUGAUCAGACUGUACAGUUUGAGUACAUAAAUCAUUAGUUUUGACCAUAAAUUGCUUAUAGUUUACUUGUACAAUGUGUAGUGCUGGUAUAAAAAAGAUUUACAAAAAAAUCAUACAUUGUAUGCCCAGUUUGGUACUGCUGAUGUUGAUCAUGUAUGUUCUUUUUUUUGCUGAGAUUUCUGCUUUGAGCGUCAUCGGUGGGGUCGAUGUCAAGGACACCGUGUGGCGGAUCAUGAAAAGCCUAUUCACCAACUCCCUGGCCAAACAACUUAACUGGCGUGGUGUGAAUGGGAAAGCAGCAUUCCACAGCCUCCAGUUAAAAGAUGUAGUUACUGGAACAGCCAGAAACAAUAAGUUAACGGCCACCGCAACAGACCAGGAGGUGGAGACUUAUAUAAAAAAGUGGCUUCAUCUUGCUGGAGACAGGGAUGGUGGGAGGAGAGAGAGAGAGCAAAAAAGGCGUUCCACACAGCUCGCACGGACAGAUGAAGACGAGACAAUGUUGGGCCCAUGAUUUAUUGGAAGCUGGAGGUCCACAACUGUGUUCCACAUUUCAUCUGUUCAUCUGUUUGGUUUUUUUCCUGUUUCGUGGCACAGUUAAAGAAUAAAGAAUAGUUCUCAGCUGUUUA